AGAGGAAAGGGACUGGGUGGACAUGGUAGUGUAGAGAGGAAAGGGACUGGGGACAUGGUAGUUGUAGAGAGGAAAGGGACUGGGGGGACAGGUUAGUGUAGAGACGAAAGGGACUGGGGGGACAGGUUAGUUUAGAGACGAAAGGGACAGGGUAGUGUAGAGACGAAAGGGACAUGGUACUGUAGAGAUGAAAGGGAACUGGGGGGACAGGUUAGUGUAGAGAGGAAAGGGACUGGGGCGCAGGUUAGUGUAGCGGUGGAAAGGGACUGGGGGACGGUUAGUUUAGAGACGAAAGGGACAGGGUAGUGUAGAGACGAAAGGGAACAUGGUCUGUAGAGAUGAAAGGGACUGGGGGGACUGGUUAGGUAGAGAGGAAAGGGACUGGGGGACAGGUUAGUGUAGAGAGGAAAGGGACUGGGGGACAGGUUAGUGUAGAGAGGAAAGGGACUGGGGGCAGGUUAGUGUGUAGAGUGGAAAGGGACUGGGGACAGGGUAGUGUAGAGAGGAAAGGGACUGGGGGACAUGGUAGUGUAGAGAGGAAAGGGCUGGGGGGACAGGUUAGUGUAGCGACGAAGGGGACUGGGGGGACAGGUUAGUUUAGAGACGAAAGGGAC
rnacentral:lncRNA from 1 species